rnacentral:rRNA from 1 species
AACUCGUAUUAAUACCGCAUACGACCUACGGGAGAAAGGGGGCAGUUUACUGCUCUCGCUAUUAGAUGAGCCUAAGUCGGAUUAGCUAGAUGGUGGGGUAAAGGCCUACCAUGGCGACGAUCUGUAGCUGGUCUGAGAGGAUGAUCAGCCACACCGGGACUGAGACACGGCCCGGACUCCUACGGGAGGCAGCAGUGGGGAAUAUUGGACAAUGGGGGAAACCCUGAUCCAGCCAUGCCGCGUGUGUGAAGAAGGCCUUUUGGUUGUAAAGCACUUUAAGCAGUGAAGAAGACUCUUCGGUUAAUACCCGGAGACGAUGACAUUAGCUGCAGAAUAAGCACCGGCUAACUCUGUGCCAGCAGCCGCGGUAAUACAGAGGGUGCAAGCGUUAAUCGGAAUUACUGGGCGUAAAGCGAGCGUAGGUGGCUUGAUAAGUCAGAUGUGAAAUCCCCGGGCUUAACCUGGGAACUGCAUCUGAAACUGUUAGGCUAGAGUAGGUGAGAGGGAAGUAGAAUUUCAGGUGUAGCGGUGAAAUGCGUAGAGAUCUGAAGGAAUACCGAUGGCGAAGGCAGCUUCCUGGCAUCAUACUGACACUGAGGCUCGAAAGCGUGGGUAGCAAACAGGAUUAGAUACCCUGGUAGUCCACGCUGUAAACGAUGUCUACUAGUCGUUGGGUCCCUUGAGGACUUAGUGACGCAGCUAACGCAAUAAGUAGACCGCCUGGGGAGUACGGCCGCAAGGUUAAAACUCAAAUGAAUUGACGGGGGCCCGCACAAGCGGUGGAGCAUGUGGUUUAUUUCGAUGCAACGCGAAGAACCUUACCUGGUCUUGACAUAUCUAGAAUCCUGCAGAGAUGCGGGAGUGCCUUCGGGAAUUAGAAUACAGGUGCUGCAUGGCUGUCGUCAGCUCGUGUCGUGAGAUGUUGGGUUAAGUCCCGCAACGAGCGCAACCCUUGUCCUUAGUUACCAUCGGGUUAAGCCGGGAACUUUAAGGAUACUGCCAGUGACAAACUGGAGGAAGGCGGGGACGACGUCAAGUCAUCAUGGCCCCUACGACCAGGGCUACACACGUGCUACAAUGGUAGGUACAGAGGGCAGCUACACAGCCGAUGUGAUGCGAAUCUCAAAAAGCCUAUCGUAGUCCAGAUUGGAGUCCGCAACUCGACUCCAUGAAGUAGGAAUC